CUUAUAUAUUAAGACAUCUAUAUAUACCCAACCACCCCAACAUUCUAUUGCCUCUUUCUUCUUCCUCUACAACUUAAAGUUGAUUUUUCUGCGAGAGAAAUAAUAAUUAGGGUUUCACUGAACUUGUCCAAGGAAGGAUCGAUGACGACGAUGAUGGUGCUUCAGAAGUUGAUGAGAAGAAUGUCAAGAGGAGAAGAAGAUCAUUCUUUCAUGUCCAAAAGCUCACCAGGAGGAGGAUAUAGGGUCCUCAACUUUCAGUCAUGGCCUGAUUUACAGCAGUAAAGAAGGUGAUGAACUUAAGGAGGAAAUGUAACCUCAGGCAAGUCUGAUUCUUGGCUUAUACAUAUGAUAUAUAUAUAUAUAUAUAUUUAUAUAUCAACCCUUAAUGUCCCUUGACCUUCUCCGUUCCUUUUUUCUUUUCCUUUUAAUUUCUGUUUGGACGAAUGCCAACUCCUUUUCUCCUGAUUCUUGGCUUGUUUGCCAAGAAAUUAAAGGAGGAAACUGAAAUAAACUGUGGAAUGUUAGCUCCUCCAGGUUGAGCAGCGAAAGAGAUGUAACUUUGUAUUUCCGUUGUUUUUUUCCUUGUUUUGAUCUUUAUUAUGCAUUUGCUAGUGUGCUCCUUCACUGUAAGAGACAUCGAUCGUCGUUGUAUAACACAACUGGUUUUCUG
rnacentral:lncRNA from 1 species